rnacentral:lncRNA from 1 species
GAAUUAAAAAGCAUCUUCAUUUGCCCACCCUAGGUCCAGACUAUCCAGCAGCAACAUAAAACUCAUAACAUCAAGCAAGCAAGCGAAUUCAAAUGAAACUUCAUGGAAACAUCUAUAACAUUCAUCAGUCUACAACCACAUUGCCAUAACAGAUGCGUAAGGUGAACAUCAGCAGGUCUCGGAGGAGAACACUCUAAUGUCGAGGAGGAGACAAACAAGCCCCCAGUCCAUAAAACAAGGUGCUUCAACACAGUUCACGGAAUUUCGUAUGACAUCAAUCAGGUUGACGCAGAAGGGGCCUCGGCCAUCUCUUGCUCGACAGGAGCCGCCUGGACUGGG